CAUCUUUUUCUAUUUAGUGAUUUUUACUUAAUUAAUUAUCUGUACACAUAAUAUAAAUCUGUUACAUUCAUUUCAAAAUUGUGAAACCACAAGAUUUGCCACGACCAAAUAUUCAUUUUCCAUUUGUACUUAAUUCCAACAUUUAAUAAUUUACAAGCAAACAAUGAAAUUUUCACAUUAAUUAUAAUUUAACUAACAAUUGAUAUACAUAAUCAUAAGGAAACAAGCAUAUAUAUUAUAUACUACAAACUUACCUCGAC
rnacentral:lncRNA from 1 species